rnacentral:lncRNA from 1 species
CUUAAGCUGAUGCAUCGCGGAGGAAAUCGCCAUCGGAAUCGAUGACAUGAGGUCUGCGUUGUUUAGGUUUAUGUUUUUGUAACGAUCGACUGGGACCUGCCGCAACGGCAUAGCAUGGAUAGGAACUGGCGGAGGUGGAGGCGGAGGUGGUAAAGGACUUGCUACCGGCGAUGGCGGCAUUAACUGCAUCGGCGUCGGAGCAGCUGUAGACUCUUCAUUUUCGACUCCAGGAAGCGAGAGACUUAAUAAAGUCGGAGGAUCUUUCGUUUGAAGCGGCGGAGGCGGAGGCGGAGGAGAAGACGUUGCUACUUCGAUUUGCGGAGCAACAACCGCUCCUGUUCUAGCGACUGGCCGGUAGACGUGCGACGACGAAAUCGCCGGAACGCUGGAAUCACUGACGUCAGAUCCAGACGGACUACCGGGAUUCAAAUAACGACCAGAAACA